rnacentral:lncRNA from 1 species
GCAUCUGCAAAGAGAGCUUGGUGAUAGACCUAGACUCAAUCUCCAGCAUUAACUAAAAUUGUAACUAGUUGUAUUUCCAUGAAUUUUUUACCAAAAAAAGAGAGACCACUCUCUUGAAGUGACUAAAGAAAAUAGUUACUUUAGAUUAAAAAACUUGAGGUGUGAAAUAAGUAAAUUAAACAGGAAACAAAGCACUGUAAGUAACACCCACUUGAAUUUGGGUUUCUCAAGUUCCCUGUGAAGCCAAGUGAAUGAUGCAUAAUUGCAUCUUAAAUUAGACUUUUGAAGUGAUUAACCUCCCUAGCGUUGCUUGUUUCAUGAAUAUAUUAUUUUUAAAUCAUCAAAACAUAUUUGUUGAGAAAUGUUAAAGACUUGGGUAUUUUAUGGAACUGUUUAAAUAGAAUUUAUAAGCACACUUAGAAAAAUCCUAAUAGAUUUUUUUAUGUUUUAUCCAAAUGAGUAUGCAUACUAUAGAAAAUUAUUCUAUAGUGGCUGAAGGAAGUAACCUAUAGACUAAAUAUAUGGGAUCGUAUCAUAUCCCACUUACAGAAGGCUCUCUCUUUAUCUCACAGAACAGAAAGACAGCAUGAGAACUGGGAGAGCUGAGAACAACUGUUGAACCAUGGAUGUAAUGAUCCCCUUCUUUCCAUCAGCAACAAUGGCAAAUCCUCUGUGCUGAAGACCACAUUUUCUCCCUGGAAAAAUGGAAAUGUUACUGUUUAGACACAGAUCCCUGAAAAGAACUUGGUUCCAUGACAUUAGGAAUGAGAAAGUGGAAGAGACUGUAAAUAUG